rnacentral:rRNA from 1 species
UACGUAGGGGGCAAGCGUUGUCCGGAUUUAUUGGGCGUAAAGAGCGUGUAGGCGGCCAGGUAGGUCUGCUGUGAAAACUCGAGGCUUAACCUCGAGCUGUCGGCGGAAACCAUCUGGCUAGAGUCCGGAAGAGGAGAAUGGAAUUCCCGGUGUAGCGGUGAAAUGCGCAGAUAUCGGGAAGAACACCCGUGGCGAAGGCGGCUUCCUGGACCGAUUACUGACGCUGAGGCGCGAAAGCUAGGGGAGCAAACGGG